GGGGGAAUUGAAAAUGGGCGCAGCCUGAUCAUCCAUGCCGCGUGAGUGAAGAAGGCCUUCCGGUUGUAAAGCUCUUUUGUCCGGGAAGAAAUCCACGGGACUAGUACCCUAUGGGGAUGAUGUACCUAGAAUAACCCCGGCUAACUCGUGCCGCGCCGCGGUAAUA
rnacentral:rRNA from 1 species